UCGCAGGGAUUGUAUCCUGGGUACAUGAUUUUCUUUGUUCAGUCUGCUUUGUUUAUUGCUGGUUCAAGAGGUUCUAACACGAUUUCCAAGAAGAAGAAGCCAGUCAUUGCUGUGAAGAUGGUUUUUGAAUUGAAGACUACAAGGCCUAUCGUGCUCAUGUUUUGUUCUAGAUGAGAAUCGUGCUCAUAUUUUUGUAUAGAACUUUACUACUCUCUAUUGUGGAUGGGAAAUCACUAGUAUUGUAACUGAAUGGCUUAUUUUGGAUGGUGCAUGGUUUAUGACUCAUUUGAGGCAACAUUUAUAUAUAUAUGUAUUUGGGUUGAUCUUCUAUUGGAAA